rnacentral:lncRNA from 1 species
UUUUGUAAAAAGAACCAAAAAAAAAGUACACUAUCUUCCAUCUCGUUACUAAAACUAAAAACAAACAAAAAGUUUUAAAAUUUAAAAUAUAAAAAAAAAACUACUGGAAAGUGUUUAUUUAAAUAUAUUCUAACUAUUAAAUUAAUCGUCAAAAUUAUAUACAUAGAAAUUAAUUAAUUUACACUAUUUAAUAUUAUCAUUUUAAAGCGUUUUUAAUUAAAUAGUGUUAUUAUCAUAAAAUAAGUU